AUACGGAGGGUGCAAGCGUUACUCGGAAUCACUGGGCGUAAAGCGCGCGCAGGCGGCUAUUUAAGUUGGAUGUGAAAGCCUAUGGCUCAACCAUAGAACUGCAUCCAAAACGAUUAGACUAGAGUGUGGGAGAGGAAGAUGGAAUUAGUUGUGUAGGGGUAAAAUCCGUAGAGAUAACUAGGAAUACCGAAAGCGAAGGCAAUCUCCUGGAACACUACUGACGCUGAGGCGCGAAAGCGUGGGGAGCAAACAGGAUUAGAAACCCUAGUAGUCC
rnacentral:rRNA from 1 species